UACAUGGGGUGCAAACGUUGCUCGGAAUUAUUGGGCGUAAAGCGCACGUAGGCGGUUUGUUAAGUCGGAUGUGAAAUCCCUCGGCUCAACUGAGGAAGUGCAUCCGAAACUGGCAGGCUUGAGUACUAAAGAGGGUCGCGGAAUUCCCGGUGUAGAGGUGAAAUUCGUAGAUAUCGGGAGGAACACCGGUGGCGAAGGCGGCGACCUGGGUAGAUACUGACGCUGAGGUGCGAAAGCGUGGGGAGCAAGCAGG
rnacentral:rRNA from 1 species